rnacentral:rRNA from 1 species
CCUACGGGUGGCAGCAGUGAGGAAUAUUGGUCAAUGGGCGCAAGCCUGAACCAGCCAAGUAGCGUGAAGGAUGACUGCCCUACGGGUUGUAAACUUCUUUUGUAAAGGGAUAAAGUGAGGCACGUGUGCCUUUUUGUAUGUACUUUAUGAAUAAGCAUCGGCUAACUCCGUGCCAGCAGCCGCGGUAAUACGGAGGAUCCGAGCGUUAUCCGGAUUUAUUGGGUUUAAAGGGAGCGUAGGUGGGUUGUUAAGUCAGUUGUGAAAGUUUGCGGCUCAACCGUAAAAGUGCCAUUGAUACUGGCAGUCUUGAGUACAGUUGAGGUAGGCGGAAUGCGUGGUGUAGCGGUGAAAUGCUUAGAUAUCACGAAGAACUCCGAUUGCGAAGGCAGCCUACUAAACUGCCACUGACAUUGAUGCUCGAAAGUGUGGGUAUCAAACAGGAUUAGAUACCCUAGUAGUC